rnacentral:rRNA from 1 species
UACGAAGGGGGCUAGCGUUGCUCGGAAUUACUGGGCGUAAAGCGCACGUAGGCGGAUUGUUAAGUCGGGGGUGAAAUCCUGGAGCUCAACUCCAGAAUUGCCUUCGAUACUGGCUUUCUAGAGGCUGGAAGAGGUUAGUGGAAUUCCCAGUGUAGAGGUGAAAUUCGUAGAUAUUGGGAAGAACACCAGUGGCGAAGGCGGCUAACUGGUCCAGAUCUGACGCUGAGGUGCGAAAGCGUGGGGAGCAAACAGG